CACGGCUUCGAUCGACAAAUGCCGUUUGCUAGCUGGUGGUUUCUUCUCCUUUCAGGGCACCUAGAAGCGACAAUGCUGCAGGUAUGGAUUGGAUCUAAAAGCAUAAAUAGCUGCCUUCUGUGCCAAUUAGCACCGCCUGCUUCGCAAUGUCCAACAUUUGUUGCCAUUAACUAUAUGCUAUUUUGACAUUCCCUUUUGUAUGACAUUUUUUAUAUUAAAAAGAAGGGGAGCCUUGAUAGGCACUAUACAUAGAUAAAAAAUAGCAGCCACAACAGGAGAAACAAAGUUUUCACAGGCCAAAACAAAGAAACAUCACACAUGAAAAAUUGUACGAGCGUAAAAAACUCAAAACACUAGAGUAAUUCAUUAAGGUGCUUUUCUUCCGCUGUGACCCACAUGCAUGUCUUAUCUUUAAUCUUUUGUAGCACUCUCACAUUUGUCGACUCUUCGUGCUCGAAGACCCCUACAUUCUUUUUCGUCCAAAUUUCCCAACAAACAACCAUGAUCUGUGAGCGUAAACCUUUCUUGGACACACUGUAUGUCUGAUCCAAAACUGUCCACCAUUUGUGGACCUGGAUCAUGUCACUGUAUGCCCAGUUGUUUGGGCAUAGUUCGUCAUUUCCAGUCCAAGUCACGAGCUCCAUCCAUAAUCACAGUAAAUAUGCAUUUUUUGAAAAUAUGGAUGCCCGUCUCAUGCGCCUGACGACUAAGAAUGCAAUUGUGCUCAUUGUCCAUCCUUGACUCUGUAGUCUAUCAGAAGCGCAAAUUAUAUUUUGGAUUGCAAGCCAAUUGAAAAGCUUGCAUUUUGGUGGCGCCCAGGUUUUCCAAUUCAGUCACGAGAUUAGUUUCCACCGUCCCUCGGAAUUGUGCUCUGUAUGCUGACCCAGUGGUGUGCUGUGCAUGUUUUGUUAGCUUCCAAACUAUGGAGUUUAGCAUGCUUUGUUGAAAAUCCAUACGGUUAACGUCAUGCUUCAUGUGGGUGAAUUCUACCAAGUGUUGGACUUUGAAUCCUCCAUUUUGAAGAUUGACGUCACAUAUCCAAUUGCUGUUCUGGAGAGCCGAAUAUAAUGUCCUGUUUAUUUUGGAGAUCAUGAAAAGGCUGAGUGCAAAGUUGCAAGGUUGUUAUCCUUGCACCCAUGCUCUGUGCCAGAAUGAAAUUUUCCUACCAUCAUCAAUAUUUGCAGAAGUUGCAGCUGCGAAGAGAAGCUUAUCAGUUUUAUCAUCAAGAACCGAUUUCACAAGGGUCAGGCGUCCUGCUAGAUUUACUUGUAAGUUUGUCUAUCGCUUUGUCAACCAAAGGCUGGAAAUCAACAUGUUGAGGUAGCUUAGUGGUAAGUGGUAGCACGAGGUCAGAUCGUGGGAUGGAAGUUGAAGGCAUUCACAGUUGAUGUCCAAUUGACGCAUUGGAGGGCGGCUCAUGAUGCAUGUAAGUGAUCUUGAGUUAUAUUUGCUUUGUGCUCAUAAUUAACUGCCCAUCAUUGUUCUGGCGCAAGCAUUCAAUGUGGUUCUUUCUUCUUGCAUUCACUUCAUACAGUAAACUUUCAGUAGCUUCCAUGCUAUAUAUUAUGCAUCUUUAAAUGUUCCAGCAACCUCUCUUAUCUUUAGUAGUCGAGUUUUAGUCUGGCAGCCCCAUUUUACUAGAGAAAUUAAGGUAAUUGUGUGUCUGGGUAAUCUACAUGAACAUCUAAUCAUGAAAUCAACUAUGGGUUGUUUGGGAAUGCCUCUGGUCUGGUGUUUGGACGUCGUUGUGGGGAUCGUCUCCACUAAUCUUCAAUUUCUAACUUUUUGUGCUUUAGGCUUUCCUCUUCUUCGGCCUACUGAAGCAGGUAAAGGUGCUUUUUCUAGAGCAACUUUUGAUCUUCCCAUCAGUGAGGUCAGUCGUCCUCUACAAAUUGUAGUUUUUAUCCCUGCUAUCAAAGGUUUAACAUGCCUUGUUAUGUCAUGAAUUAUUAUCACAUUGUAAUUUGACAUGACCUUUGAUUAGUGUAUGUUGUCUUACCAUGUGCCAACUGCCAGCAGCAGCAUCAAAGAACAAUAUUGAUUUUCUUGCUCUAAGAUUCCAUUCGGUUGUAAAUCAAGUCCUAAGGCAAGAUUGUAGUCAUUCCUUGAUAAAUAAUAGUUACACUUAUAUGCUACUUGAAAUGGCAAAUCAUUGGGGCAUGUAUGUUCAUAUUUGUUUAUCUGAUUUGCCAGUACUUCUACUAAACUAAAUUGGGGUAUGUUAUAGUAUGCAUAAUCGUUAUAUUCUACAUUCUCUUGAUGACAACUGUCUAUGAAUGCUUAUUUGCAUUUGCUUCCAGUAAAAGAAAUAUUGAAUGAAAAAAACAGUUGUUGGCAUCUUCUAUUACUGUUGUAUAUGCUCUUAGCCAUUAACAAAAUGGCACACCAUGUCUUCUUCCAGAGCAAGAGUGAUGCACUGCCCUGAACUAACCGAUGUCUUCCUAUGCCAUAAAAGUGUAUUUAGAAAUUACUAACCUAUUAGGUUUUGUUUGGUUGUGGAUUUCGGACGGUAACACAAAUGUUAUCUAAUAACGCUGUAAAAAUAGAAAAGAAGCAAACCAUUACUUUGAUUGUUUGGUUCAAAUCAUCUAUAUCAUGGUAUUCCAUCACUCUCUGAUUGGAGGGGUAUUGGAUAACGCUCCAUUUUCUAUAAGUCAGGUUAAAAGAUUACAUUGUGCCUCAAACAAACAUGAUACAAUGUAAUCAGUUGUCGCUAUAAUUAAAUAACGUUACGUUUCACUGAACCAAACAACAUCUUAGUUUAGUUAAUUACCUUCAUUUCAUUGAUGUUGUUUUCUUUCUCUUCAUUUUAUUAAUUUCCUUUCAAAUUGCAUCCCAUCGGUUGAUUCUUGAUUUGUUGCUUUUGUGAACAAGCUUUGUGACUUAUUUUGGAUUUGAGUAGCACAAUCAUAACAUUGCUGCCACACCAGAACUCUUUAAUUCUUCAUGCUUUUACGGAUCUGGUUUGUUCAUAUGUCCGAGUGAAUCUUCUUUUAUCUAGCAAGAUGCCAAGAAAGAUGAUCAUCUAGAUUUACAACAUCCUUCAUGUAAUGCUAAAGGAUAAUUGUGAUGGUGGGUUUUAGCACCAUUAUGGGUGCUACUUUAGAGAAUAAAAGUUUUAGCAGUGAUUCAGGUGAUGGAGGCAAUAAGGUUGUCGGUUCUGCAGGAGGGACAUCAAAGUAGCACCCAAAAAAUGGGAAGGAGCCCAUUCACUGGCACAACAAGUGUGACAUCACUAUCUUUGCUCAUCUAAAGCUUGCAUUUUAUUUAUGAUCAAGUUUAUGGAGAUAAACACAUUCAAGUGUGGGAGUUGACUGUUGGUGGAUAUAACAGAGGGUUUUAUACUUCAUUCUAUUGAUCUAUUCUAUGAACAUGAAUAAUAUAUGAAGGCAAAUAGUUUCCCUUUUUAUUUAUUUUACCUUGUGUAUGCCAUGUGUCCACACAAGUGAGCC